GUUUACCACUCGACGAAGAAAAACGGACAAAUUUCUUGACGGAUUUCCUGAGGGGGGAGUGCGGACGACUCCAAGAUCUCUCUUUCUUCUAUUUCGCUACGGUUUCGCUUUAUUUGCAGUUCCGACAUCCAACGCGGAGUCGGUCUUCUGUGGAGCUCCAGUCUGAUUCGAUUCUUCAUCCCAACAUUAAGACUUGAGACUCAUAGUCGAAAAUCAAUUUCGGGUUUUCGAUCGCUGUUGUCCAGAAUUGAUCAUAGAUUUUGAUUUGCAGAGUAGGAAGUUCUAAUCAGGGAAUCAAUCAUGUUUACGCGGAUUUUUGGUAAGCCUAAACAGGAAACCAAUGCCGUAGCAACGUUAGACAAGUUGAAUGAGACACUUGAAAUGCUAGAGAAAAAGGAGAAAGUCCUAUUGAAGAAGGCUGCUACUGAGGUUGAAAAGGCAAAGGAAUUCACUAGAGCGAAGAAUAAAA